rnacentral:lncRNA from 1 species
CAGUGGCGCCAUCUCGGCUCAGUGCAAGCUCCGCCCCCCGGGUUCCCGCCAUUCUCCCGCCUCAGCCUCCCGAGUAGCUGGGACUACAGGCGCCCGCCAUCACGCCCGGCUGCUUUUUUUGUUUUAGUAGAGAGGAGGUUUCACCGUGUUAGCCAGGAUGGUCUCAAUCUCCUGACCUCGUGAUCCGCCCGCCUCGGCCUCUCAAAGUGCUGGGAUUACACGCGUGAGCCACCGCGCCUGGCCUGAAGAAAGAAGUCAUUAAAGAAGCAACCCAUGGCAAAACUAGUUAUUUUCUUAAAACAGUAGGAAGAAGAAAAGCUUUUUGAAUGAAUCACUUCUCAUCUUCUCCGAAGUUGGAAGCAUCAAGAAUCUAAAUAAGCAUUUAUGAUGGCUGGCAUGAAUAUGCGGAAGAUAGAAUGGGAGUCCUAGUUGACCUUCAUAUAAUUUUUAGAAGAUGGAGCACUUCAACUUCUUCCACUCAUGAAAAGAGAGGUGACAGGUGAAGACAGAACAAGAAAACAAACCAAGAAUUUCCCCUCACCAGCCACCAGCUCUGCCAGCAACUUGAUCUUAGACUUCCCAGCCUCCGUAACGCCUCUGCUUAUAAUCUGUCAUGGAUUGGAAAACUAGAAAAAACAGUUUACAGAGUAUAACAAACUUUGGAGGAGUUAAUCGACUCUAAGUAAAAGAGUAUCUAGCACGGCUGUGGAACAAAGGAGAGACUCACAAACUGUUGAAAGAAUAAAUGAAUGAAUGAAUUCUGUUCAUGAGCUUUAAUAAAACAGCUCUGAGUAGUAACAGUGGAUCAAAUUUAGGCUUCUUGAUGCAGGCAUGGUGUAGAUUACUACUUCUGUAUUGUCCCAGGAGCUCAGCACAUUCCUGCAGAGAUGAUAGGAGCUCAUCUGAUACUUGUCAGCUUUGAAUAAACUCCAGUCCCCAAGAGAGAGAAUGAGAAUCACCGGAAUACGAAACUUCCCUGUUGGACUUCCCAACAUUCUUGAAUGCACCAAGAUAGCCUCUUGCUGUGAGAUUAAUAAAUGAAUAAAUGCCUCCAUAUUUUUCAAAUCUGUGAAGUUAACAACAUGUAGAUUUUUUUGCAUAUUUAAAAACUGCAACUAAAUCUUAAUGCCUCUGAAGCAGAUGGAAGAAAAUAAUAGGCUUCCAUUAACUGUGUCAAAUUGUAUAGGUCUUGGCCAUCACUGGUCCUGUUGUGAUGAAGGUUUUUUGCCCUUGGAUAUAAUUUAAUUUUCAAUUCUUCUAAUUAUGGUACUUCAGAACAUCAAUAUUUGAGAUGAACUUCUCUAGUGUCAAGGACUGAUUUGAGUUGUGUAAACCCUGAAUAUCUGAGACAGGUCUCGAUUAUUUUAGAAAGUUUAUUUUGCCAAGGUUGAGGAUGUGUGCCUGUGACACGGCCUCGGGAGGUCCUGAGGACAUGUGCUCAAGGUGGUCAGAGCACAGCUUUGCUUUAUACAUUUUAGAGAGACAUGAGACAUCAACCGACAUAUGUAAGAUGAACAUUGGUUCCAUCUGGAAAGGCGAGACAACUUCAAACGAGGAGGGGGCUUCCAGGUCAUAGGUAGAUAAGAGACAAAUGGCUGCAUUCUUUUGAGUUUCUGAUUAGCCUUUCCAAAGGAGGCAAUUAGAGUGAGCAAAAUGAACAAAAUCAAUUAUUUUGAUUCUGAACAAAAUGGGAGGCUGGUUUUCCCUAAGCAGUUCCCAGCUUGACUUUUCCCUUUAGCUGAGGGAUUUGGGGGGCCCAAGAUUUAUUUUUCUUUCACCGUUGUAUCAAACUACACAGGCGGCCUUGGAAACCAUCACAGUUGAGAGUAGGUAACGCCCAUUUGUUGCAUAGUUUUGUGCUCCACACUCUUAUCUACAAAAUUAUGAAUUUUUUUACAUAUAUUAAUUUCAGAAAAACUAAAAAUAAAACAAAGUAGUUUCAAACUAGUAUUGUUUUUAUAUCUUAAAAAUAAAGCUUUAUAU